GAGAGAGUCAACCUACUCUGGUCUCUCCUGAUAAAUCUUCAAAGGUCAGUCUUUCACAAUUCAUGACUCCUAUAACCAGGGCUAUUUUUAAAAUGUCUAAUGUGUUGUCAUUUAGUUCCCCCCAAGCAGCUUAAUUCAACUGAAUUCAUAAGAGAUAAUUGACUGAGUUAGCUAUGCAUGAAAAGCCAAGCUUAACGACUGACUGCAGCUUCAUUCUCCUUCUGGCCAUUAAAGUAAGUUAAUGAUCUGGAGCUGUGUAGGGGUUUCCAGAAAUAAUACUAUAAUGGCCAACAUGCUGUAGUUAGCAGCUGAGAAAAAGAGCUGUUUAUUAAUUUUCAGGCAGUCACCCUAACCCAUGCCAUAGUAUUUUUAUUUUAAGACGCAGUCUACUAUGAAGAAAAGCAACGCAUUACAACUCAAGUGAACACAAAACAUCUUGUUUGUAAAAACAAACUCGUGAAUGAUUUCAUGCAGAUUUUCAUAACUAUGGAAACUCAAUGCCCCUAAGUCUCCAAUUUAUACACUAAACCUGC
rnacentral:lncRNA from 1 species